UACGUGGAUAACUGUGGUAAUUCUAGAGCUAAUACAUGCACCAAAGCUCCGAAUUUUUGACGAGCGCAUCUAUUAGAUUAAAACCAAUCGGGUUUCGGCCCGUUUGUUGGUGACUCUGAAUAACUAUGGCUGAUCGCAUGGUCUAGAACCGGCGACGUGUCUAUCAAGUGUCUGCCUUAUCAACUGUCGAUGGUAGUUUAUGUGCCUACCAUGGUUGUAACGGGUAACGGAGAAUAAGGGUUCGACUCCGGAGAGGGAGCCUGAGAAACGGCUACCACAUCCAAGGAAGGCAGCAGGCGCGCAAAUUACCCACUCUCGGCAUGAGGAGGUAGUGACGAAAAAUAACGAGACCGUUCUCUAUGAGGCCGGUUAUCGGAAUGGGUACAAUUUAAACCCGUUAACGAGGAUCUAUGAGAGGGCAAGUCUGGUGCCAGCAGCCGCGGUAAUUCCAGCUCUCAAAGUGUAUAUCGUCAUUGCUGCGGUUAAAAAGCUCGUAGUUGGAUCUGCGCCUCAGGACCUGGUCCGCCCACUGGGUGAGAACUGGGCUCCUGGGCUAGUUCUGCUGGUUUUCCCUGCGUUGCCUUCAUCGGUAGCGUAGGGUGGCUAGCGAGUUUACUUUGAAAAAAUUAGAGUGCUUCACGCGGGCUUAUGUCUGAAUACUCGUGCAUGGAAUAAUAGAAUAGGAUCUCGGCUCUAUUUUGUUGGUUUUCUGAUCUGAGAUAAUGGUUAAGAGGGACGGACGGGGGCAUUCGUAUCGCUGCGUGAGAGGUGAAAUUCUUGGACCGUAGCGAGACGUCCGACUGCGAAAGCAUUUGCCAAGAAUGUCUUCAUUAAUCAAGAACGAAAGUCAGAGGU
rnacentral:rRNA from 1 species